rnacentral:tRNA from 1 species
ACUAUUUUGACAGAAAAGUGUAUUAGAUUUAGAAUCUAUUUAUGUAAUUAAUAUUACAAAUAGUA